rnacentral:tRNA from 1 species
GUCGCGAUAGCUCAGUGGUAGAGCUAAGGGUUAAGGACCCGAAGUCGCUGGUUCAAAUCCAGCUCGCGGCACCU